UCAGGACGAACGCUGGCGGCGUGCCUAAUACAUGCAAGUCGAGCGAAUCGAYGGGAGCUUGCUCCCUGAGAUUAGCGGCGGACGGGUGAGUAACACGUGGGCAACCUGCCUAUAAGACUGGGAUAACUUCGGGAAACCGGAGCUAAUACCGGAUACGUUCUUUUCUCGCAUGAGAGAAGAUGGAAAGACGGUUUACGCUGUCACUUAUAGAUGGGCCCGCGGCGCAUUAGCUAGUUGGUGAGGUAAUGGCUCACCAAGGCGACGAUGCGUAGCCGACCUGAGAGGGUGAUCGGCCACACUGGGACUGAGACACGGCCCAGACUCCUACGGGAGGCAGCAGUAGGGAAUCUUCCGCAAUGGACGAAAGUCUGACGGAGCAACGCCGCGUGAACGAAGAAGGCCUUCGGGUCGUAAAGUUCUGUUGUUAGGGAAGAACAAGUACCAGAGUAACUGCUGGUACCUGAC
rnacentral:rRNA from 1 species